rnacentral:rRNA from 1 species
GCUUACACAUGCAAGUCGAGCGAAGCGAUUUUAAGGAAGCCUUCGGGUGGAAUUAAAAUUGACUUAGCGGCGGACGGGUGAGUAACGCGUGGGUAACCUGCCUCAUACAGGGGGAUAACAGUUAGAAAUGACUGCUAAUACCGCAUAAGCGCACAGUGCUGCAUAGCACAGUGUGAAAAACUCCGGUGGUAUGAGAUGGACCCGCGUCUGAUUAGGUAGUUGGUGAGGUAACGGCCCACCAAGCCGACGAUCAGUAGCCGACCUGAGAGGGUGACCGGCCACAUUGGGACUGAGACACGGCCCAAACUCCUACGGGAGGCAGCAGUGGGGAAUAUUGGACAAUGGGGGAAACCCUGAUCCAGCGACGCCGCGUGACUGAAGAAGUAUUUCGGUAUGUAAAGGUCUAUCAGCAGGGAAGAAAAUGACGGUACCUGACUAAGAAGCCCCGGCUAACUACGUGCCAGCAGCCGCGGUAAUACGUAGGGGGCAAGCGUUAUCCGGAUUUACUGGGUGUAAAGGGAGCGUAGACGGCUCUGCAAGUCUGGAGUGAAAGCCCGGGGCUCAACCCCGGGACUGCUUUGGAAACUGUGGAGCUAGAGUGCAGGAGAGGUAAGUGGAAUUCCUAGUGUAGCGGUGAAAUGCGUAGAUAUUAGGAGGAACNNNNGUGGCGAAGGCGGCUUACUGGACUGUAACUGACGUUGAGGCUCGAAAGCGUGGGGAGCAAACAGGAUUAGAUA